rnacentral:rRNA from 1 species
GAUGAACGCUGGCGGCGUGCCUAAUACAUGCAAGUCGAGCGAACGGACGAGAAGCUUGCUUCUCUGAUGUUAGCGGCGGACGGGUGAGUAACACGUGGAUAACCUACCUAUAAGACUGGGAUAACUUCGGGAAACCGGAGCUAAUACCGGAUAAUAUUUUGAACCGCAUGGUUCAAAAGUGAAAGACGGUCUUGCUGUCACUUAUAGAUGGAUCCGCGCUGCAUUAGCUAGUUGGUAAGGUAACGGCUUACCAAGGCAACGAUGCAUAGCCGACCUGAGAGGGUGAUCGGCCACACUGGAACUGAGACACGGUCCAGACUCCUACGGGAGGCAGCAGUAGGGAAUCUUCCGCAAUGGGCGAAAGCCUGACGGAGCAACGCCGCGUGAGUGAUGAAGGUCUUCGGAUCGUAAAACUCUGUUAUUAGGGAAGAACAUAUGUGUAAGUAACUGUGCACAUCUUGACGGUACCUAAUCAGAAAGCCACGGCUAACUACGUGCCAGCAGCCGCGGUAAUACGUAGGUGGCAAGCGUUAUCCGGAAUUAUUGGGCGUAAAGCGCGCGUAGGCGGUUUUUUAAGUCUGAUGUGAAAGCCCACGGCUCAACCGUGGAGGGUCAUUGGAAACUGGAAAACUUGAGUGCAGAAGAGGAAAGUGGAAUUCCAUGUGUAGCGGUGAAAUGCGCAGAGAUAUGGAGGAACACCAGUGGCGAAGGCGACUUUCUGGUCUGUAACUGACGCUGAUGUGCGAAAGCGUGGGGAUCAAACAGGAUUAGAUACCCUGGUAGUCCACGCCGUAAACGAUGAGUGCUAAGUGUUAGGGGGUUUCCGCCCCUUAGUGCUGCAGCUAACGCAUUAAGCACUCCGCCUGGGGAGUACGACCGCAAGGUUGAAACUCAAAGGAAUUGACGGGGACCCGCACAAGCGGUGGAGCAUGUGGUUUAAUUCGAAGCAACGCGAAGAACCUUACCAAAUCUUGACAUCCUUUGACAACUCUAGAGAUAGAGCCUUCCCCUUCGGGGGACAAAGUGACAGGUGGUGCAUGGUUGUCGUCAGCUCGUGUCGUGAGAUGUUGGGUUAAGUCCCGCAACGAGCGCAACCCUUAAGCUUAGUUGCCAUCAUUAAGUUGGGCACUCUAAGUUGACUGCCGGUGACAAACCGGAGGAAGGUGGGGAUGACGUCAAAUCAUCAUGCCCCUUAUGAUUUGGGCAACACACGUGCUACAAUGGACAAUACAAAGGGCAGCGAAACCGCGAGGUCAAGCAAAUCCCAUAAAGUUGUUCUCAGUUCGGAUUGUAGUCUGCAACUCGACUACAUGAAGCUGGAAUCGCUAGUAAUCGUAGAUCAGCAUGCUACGGUGAAUACGUUCCCGGGUCU